UCUUAACCUCUUUGGAAUUGACUCAGAAUCUCUUAAUGAACUACAUAGGAAUUUUAGUCAUUAUUUGGCUUCUGGUCAUGAAUAAAAUUACCCCAAACCUGUUACCCACCUUACUCACUACUCUUGGCUUCUCAUGACCUCAUAUUUGUUUCCGUAAUCAGAAUAAUAGGAAACAAUUCUAAACCAGGAGUUCUAUAAACGGGUUCAGCUGUGGGAGUAAAAUAGGAGUAAUUUCAUAGCUUCUCCGUAUAAUUGCACUGUAUCUGUAAGAGUAGAAGACGUCAAUCUUAAAAGAUUUGAGGAGGUUAUUUCCACACAUUAAAAGUGGGUCAACCAAAACCGCAUGGCGUACUACUCUCUGAAGCCUCUACUACCCUGCUCCUCCGUGUUGACAUGUGGUCAGGCAAGCCAGGACUUACUCACAUCAGCUACAUCAGUUACUGGGAUGGAGAAAAUUGAAGCCUAGAAAGAUCAAGAAACUUUCUCCAGGCCAUAAAUAGAGGAAUCAGGAUUCAAAUCAGAUAGACCCCAGGGCUUGUUCUCUUCAACACCACAUUACCCUACAUUAUUAUUCAAUUAUUAAAUAAAACCUUGCAUUAGUGGCAUUUCCAAAUGCAUAACAAAAAAAUAAAAAAAAGUAACACUGGUC
rnacentral:lncRNA from 1 species